GAUGAACGCUGGCGGCGUGCCUAAUACAUGCAAGUCGAGCGAACGGACGAGAAUCUUGCGUCUCUGAUGUUAGCGGCGGACGGGUGAGUAACACGUGGAUAACCCACCUAUAAGACGGGGAUAACUUCGGGAAACCGGAGCUAAUACCGGAGAAUAUUUUGAACCGCAUGGUUCAAAAGUGAAAGACGGUCUUGCUGUCACUUAUAGAUGGAUCCGCGCUGCAUUAGCUAGUUGGUAAGGUAACGGCUUACCAAGGCAACGAUGCAUAGCCGACCUGAGAGGGUGAUCGGCCACACUGGAACUGGGCCACGGUCCAGACUCCUACGGGAGGCAGCAGUAGGGAAUCUUCCGCAAUGGGCGAAAGCCUGACGGAGCAACCGCGCGCGAGUGAUGAAGGUCUUCGGAUCGUAAAACUCUGUUAUUAGGGAAGAACAUAUGUGUAAGUAACUGUGCACAUCUUGACGGUACCUAAUCAGAAAGCCACGGCUAACUACGUG
rnacentral:rRNA from 1 species